CGCCCACCUCCAACACUCUAAUCACACGUAGAUCGUUCCAUCCCGGCUUGCCGCCCUGACUCCUGCUCCAAAAAGCUCCGUGAUUUAGGGUUUCAGAUAUGGGGAUCGGAAGAAGAAGAAGCAGCAGCAGAGGAACAAGGGUCUCGCCGAGGUCUCUUGCUGUUUUCUGCUGCACUCGGUUUCUCACGGUUCGGCUGCCAUCCGCUCCCUUUCUCCGGCAGGUUGAGUCUUGAUCUGGAUUUCUUGCUGCGGUUGCUAUAAAGAUUCGAUCUUGGAAGAAGGGAAUUCUUGUAUCUCAUUGGGGAAAAGAACAGUGGCAGAGUAGGCUGUGAAUUCUACAGCCCAUAAAUAUUUGAAUUAAGCGGUUUCAGUGAACUAUUUUUUCAAAACUUAUAGGAUCUAAAAUAAAUAAGGUAAAUGUUGAAUCAUAAUUUGUUAAUGAUAUGAAUUUUCUUAGAGAGGUUUCAUCUAAGAAAUCAUAUGAUGAAUUUGAACUACUAAUAGGUGAGGCUGAUGAUAAACUUGUUAUAACAAAAUAUGUCAUUUAAUUUUAUGGAGUGUUUAGUUUUG